rnacentral:lncRNA from 1 species
UGCAUAUGUACAAAAACAGCUGGGAGGGUCUGCCCGGUUUCUUCAGCUCAUUCAGAAGGGGGAUAAUGUGAGAGCUGGCCUGCGUUUACAUUCACCACCGGCUAUACAUGACCUAGGCCAUGUUGGGUCCUGCUUUACUAGUAUACAGCAAACGAGGAGUGCACUUCUGCCGGUUAUUUUUAGACAUUCCUUGUGCCAUCUCAGGAGCGCAGCAGAGGAUGACCUCCCCCUGAAACCAAGCACUCUUUGACCUUUAGCAUAGUGUUACUUAAAAUUUAUUUCAAGCCUGAAUUUACUCUCUGGGCUCUGUCAGUGACAUAUUUUCGAGGGAAAAUUAGGAAGGUACAUAGUCACACGUAGUCAUACGGGGAACCGGUAGUCAAAUUUGUACCCCAGAUGGACUCUGUCCUUUUUUCUUUCCGUUUGAAAGCAAACACCCUGCCUUCUCAUACACUGGUGCAGCCUUGUAUAUCAGCGGUAGGGGAGCGAAACAGAUGCCAGAGGAUCUGCAUGAGUAGGAAAGGACAGGCUGCUGCUACCUCGGAAAAGAAUCACCUCAAGAGAUCAUGGACUGCAUGUACUGAAGCUCCAAAUCUGUAAGCUCUCAUAAGGAAAUGAAGGACUUCAUGUUUGCUGCUGUCAUGAUUCUCAGCUAAGACAAACCACAAAACCUUUCCUGGGCACCCCAAAACCCCUGUGAACCAAGGAGAAGGCUGGAAGAAGAACCUGUCUCUUGAAAGGAGUAAAACCCUGUGGAAAUGCCUCUUCAUCAGUAACUUUUCAUAUACAGUCAUAAACUACCAUUCGAAGCAGAAGGGGGGAGGUACGUAAAAGGCUGCCUUCACUGCCACUUUUUGGUAUUGUUAGCAUCUCUCACAAGUGGUACUCAAGUGGCACUGAUGAAUUAUCUCCUGCUCGCUACAUGUCCAUUUUAAUGUUAUUGGACUUCUCCAUCGUCUUUGGUAAGGUCCAUUGUGGAAUUGCAUGGUCCUUGAGGUAGGGUAGGAGUUUGAGGGAUCAAACCUAACGGUUUCAGCCGUUCCUCUCAGACCAGGCACCAUUCCUCUGACUCUGGAGCUCUGCCUGUGAAGUCCCAGAAAGGUGUCUGCUCUCACAGCUGUCCUGUUCAGCAUGGACAUGAAGCCCCUGGGUGAGCGUGGAGCAUCGGUGAGCAGGUACCAGUAACACACAAGUGAUCUUUAUACUGCUGUGCUCCAGCUGCUUCCUCGUGUGGAGACUGCACCUGGAGAAAGAAAAAGAUGAUGUUGCAGGAGAGAAAACCUGCUGAUGAAUGCCAAGCUUUAUAAUAUCCUCUCCUUCACUUUUACUUCUUCCUGCUUCACUGCAAUGUGCUUCUUUACUUGUGCUCCGAGUAUUCCUGAGUAUCCAAAUAUGGCUCUCACAAAACGUUUAUAAGAUGUCUGGUGAUCACCCCUCCUUCCUGGCAGAUGCGAGCUUACUAGGAAGAAUUGAGACUCUGGAUUUUUUUUAACUUUCCUAUUGGCAGAUAUGAACUUGCUAGAUCUGAGGAGAGGCAAAAAAGCAGCAGUUCAGACCUGAGCAUCCUCCUUAUCUGUGCUCUUGCCAGCUCACCGCCUCU